CUAUCAGAAGUAGUAACGUUAACGUUAGAGGUUCGUUGAAUAAUGUUAGCAGCAGCUAGCUUCUAGCUAUCAUAGACAUUGAUUCACCCUAACGUUACUGGAUCCAUCAUUAAGAUAAGUUUUGUACUUUCUUGUCAGCCUGGCAAUAAAAUCAACUAUCGAUUAUAUGAUUUCGAGCUUGUGUAGAACGACACUACUGUUCAAUAUCCUCCCUCUCCCCGAUUGAGCUAAAGCUAUCUACAGCUAGCCUGCUAGCGCUAGCUGUCGCUAGCUAGUGAACAUAGAAGCAACGCAGAGUAAUCAGCUACAAACGUCAGCUAACAUACGAUGCAAAUGAUUUGGCAAUAACUAAUACUUGAUUAGCAGACUGUUUAGUUAAAUUACAGGAAACCCAGCCAACAAGUUAGGAUAGCUAACAGUAGCCAAUAGUGCUAUAACAGACUUCUGAAACACAUACAGAUAGCUAGCUACCAGUUGAACCUCGUUCAUGUAUCAUGCUGGGCUCAUUGCAAAUUACAAUAUAUUUAGUACAUCUGUAUAGCUAACGCUACGGCUCUGGUGUCUGUAAGACAAUACAGGCAUCUAAAAGAGGAUGGAACUCACUAACUCACUACAAUAUGUACUUAAUGUCUCUAUGUCUUAUUUUUUUAUUUUAGAUGAAGAUGUCUGUCAAUGGCUUCAGUCCAUCAAUUUAAUUGCAUUAAUUCCAUUACCUCCGAUUAUCUUUAAGUGUCCAAUUUGUGAUGUAAAGUUUUACCUUCCCAAAUAUUUGCAACAUCUACAGCUACUUCAUCAGCAUCUUCCUGAUUUCUGCAUUGUUUGCAUUAUAUUUAAUGUAAUGAAAGUCUAUUGUCAUACUUGCAUUAACAGAACAGCAAAUUGAUGGGAAGACUGCUGGGGUUGACAGAGAUGAUGGUUGAACAACUGUUUCCUCUGAUGAAACACAGUCUUGUUUUUGAGAGGUGGAAAAGUUAUGCAAAUCAUCGUUGGUUCAGUACCCAAACCAUAAAAAAUACACUGAUGUCCUGUGGUGUCUGAUCACUAGAUAUCCAUUUCUUAAUGACUACAGCUAAUCUGGUUAUGAGACCCUGCUGGAGUGUCUUAGGAAUAAGUUCAAAAAGGAAAGGUCUCCUUUGAUAAACCUGACAACGGUGCAGGAGAUUAAGAGAAAGUUUGGUGUCAGAAGACAAAGAAUUGUGGACCAUAUGCCUCUGGAGGACCCACCUGGACAUCAGAGAGCAAAAAAGUACAGAGUGGGGGUCCAGAUGUCUUCUGAUUAUGAGCCAACACAAGAGAUUAUGUUGGACCUUGAAGCAGUUGGGGAGGACUACCACAGCUUUCAAGAGCAUAUAAACGCCAUAAACAAUUAGUUGUGCCGUCGUCAGCCAGAUAUUAGUCAUAUAAUGAACAGGACGAGGCAAACUGUCUAUAAGAGGGUAGAGCAAAUGGGAAAGCCAACUGAGGAGGUGAUGUAGAUGUUCCAAUUUCUUUGGGUGUCAGAGCUGAUGCAUCAUGAAAUGAAGUUGCGGUUUGGACUGGACUUAGAGCUAAGCCUGCAUAACACCCUCAGUAUAUUGACCCCUAACGUCAUCAGAGGGGCUGACAGUGGGAGUCAGAGGGAGAGGCUGUCAAGCCUACGAGAUACUAACACAGAUGACCUUCAAAAAAGUGCUGCUGUCCUAAUUUUGCCUGCCCUUUUUAAGGAGGAUGCCAAGUUUCUGUAUUGUUUAGACGAGGAACCACUGAGCGUGUUUCCAACCAUCAUCUUCCAGGGUGGCGAAACUCCCCUCCUUGCCAGGAGAGCAUCCAUAAAGAUGGAUGGCAUCACAAUAGCAAGUGGAGAGAUGGAUGUGCCACAUGCCCUCCAAUGCAAAUUUGUCAUUGGCCCCUCCCCUGACAUUGAUGCCUUCUUAGGCCUUGUCUGUAUAUUUUGUUUAUAUUUUCUUUUUGAUGUUCAGUACCAAAAAGAGGCCCACCACAUUACUAUUCUUUGAAAGACGCCUUAACCUGUCUAUGUCUAAGCCCUCCACUCCAGUGUUGCGUGUGGAAAAAAUGUUAUCAUAAAGUGUGUUUUAUAAUCAUUUGAAAUGUAUUCAUUUGUAAAAAUGUAACUAUUGCUGUUUUUUAUGCAAGUAAUAUAGAAGAUAUGUUUAAGCAAUGAAUAUGUAAAUUAAUGUGUAAAUAGGUAUCUAUUGUUGUUUUGAGUGUCUUAUGACACAUUUUUUUGCGAGUAAUAUAAAAGAUAUGCUAAAGCAAUGAAUAUGUGAAUUAAUGUAGAAAUACUGAAUACAGUAUUUGAAUGAUA